CCUUGUACACACCGCCCGUCACACCACGGGAGUUGGUUCUACUUGAAGCCGGUGCGCUAACCCGAAAGGGAGGCAGCCGACCACGGUGGGAUCAGCGACUGGGGUG
rnacentral:rRNA from 1 species